rnacentral:rRNA from 1 species
CUGCCCAGUGAAAAAUUCAACGGCCGCGGUAUCCUAACCGUGCAAAGGUAGCAUAAUAACUUGCCUAUUAAUUGUAGGCUAGAAUGAACGGGAAAACGAAAUAAAAACUGUCUCAAUUAAUUAACUAAAAAUUAUUUUCUAUAUAAAGAAAAAUAGAUAAAUUCGAAGGACAAGAAGACCCUAUAGAGCUUUAUUUUAUACGUAAAAAUUAUACUAACAAAAUUCGGUUGGGGCGACCAGGGGAAUAAAAAACACCCCUUAAUAAAAAGAUCAAUUAAUCACCUUAUUGACCCUUAAAAGAUCAAUAAAUCAAGCUACCUUAGGGAUAACAGACUAAUCCCAUUCAAGAGUCCAUAUCAACAAUGGGUUUUGGCACCUCGAUGUUGGCUUAGGGUAUCUUCAUAGCGCAAAAGUUAUAUAAAGAUGGUUUGUUCAACCAAUAAUUCCCU